GAGGUAGAGGGAGAGAGAACCUCAAGCAGCCCUCAUGCUGAGGGAGGAGCCUGAGGUGGGGCUUGGUCCCAUGAUCCUGAGAUCAUGACCUGAGUGGAAAUCAAGAGUCAGCAUCUCGACCAAGGGAGGCACCCAGGCGCUCCUAUUCCGAGGCUGUCUUAAACUUUGCACUCUCUUCUUACACAGCAUUAGGGCAGCCCCAUAGUUCUUCAAACUUAAUUUUUCCCUUAUUUAAAAAUUUUUGAAACCCCUGUAAUCAUGUUACCAUUUUUCUGGUAUCAUGGGUUACUUUUCAUUUAGUUAAAACAAACAAACAAACAAACAAACAAACAAAACUGACCAGUUGAUCAAAAAGAGACAAAGUCCCAGCUCCUAGAAGCCAGGGACUGCAUUUCUCCUAUGAUUUCUGAAUCAUCCCAGAGAACGUGGGAAGGGCCUCAGCAGAUUAUGUGAGGGAUGACUUGGCAAUAAUUGUGUUGGAAAAUACUUCUUGGCAAAGGAAAGUGAGAUUAGGAACUGAACGGAUCCUGGAAUGAAUCAGAUACAAAAGGUUUUUUUCGUGCCACUCAAAGAAGGUAGAGGGAAAAAGAUAGGGCAACUGAGGGUUAAAAAAAAAAAGUCAUCGAAAAUGUGCUUUAAAAAAACAAACAUAAAACUGGUCCUUGAACCCUGUUGGAGAUCAGCGUUCUGAGGCCAAGGUCUAACGGGAGCAGAAGGUUGUAGGGAGGAGAUAACUUCUCUCCCCGGUAGAUCCAGCCUCUCCUUUAGCUAGCACAUUAUCCGUUCCAGUUUCCUUUUUCUUGAGCUUCAUCUCGUUUAAGCAGCUCUGAUGAGUGCUGGCCGUCUCUCUUGUUGCCGGGUGUUAAUAGAGUGCAGAGCAGGUGAAAAUCUCGGGGACAUUGGGCAUGGUCCGCGAACACGUAAGCGCAGCCUGGAGUUUGGAAAAGCCGCAUAGAAUGCUGGCACCGUGUUAGCUUCUGGAUAUAGAGCAACAGCAAAAUGAACACAGCCCCCGCCUUAUUGUUCGUACAGCUCAGCUCUGCACGGGAAGACAGACAAGAAACAGGAAGGCAAUUCUCCACAUCAGUUUGCUGUUGGCUUGGUAACCACUCUUGAUACAUCCGCUCACAUGAAACAGCCCUCCAUCCUCUAGAGAAGAAAGUAGACGUUAAUACCACUCUGUUUGGGAAAGUCCUUAUCUGCCUCCAUGUGAAACCCUGAGUUACUGAGAAGAUGGAUCAGAGAAAAUCCCCAAUUUGCUUUUCAUUACCGUGAUUCUUGAACGUGCCUUUGUAACUCAAUUAAUAUGGUAAGUACUAGAAAUAGAAAUGUGAGUGAGUGAGAUAUGAGGAAGUCAAAAC